rnacentral:rRNA from 1 species
UACGUAGGUGGCAAGCGUUGUCCGGAAUUAUUGGGCGUACAGCGCGCGCAGGCGGCCUCUUAAGUCUGAUGUGAAAGCCCCCGGCUCAACCGGGGAGGGCCAUUGGAAACUGGGAGGCUUGAGUAUAGGAGAGAAGAGUGGAAUUCCACGUGUAGCGGUGAAAUGCGUAGAGAUGUGGAGGAACACCAGUGGCGAAGGCGACUCUUUGGCCUAUAACUGACGCUGAGGCGCGAAAGCGUGGGGAGCAAACAGG